rnacentral:rRNA from 1 species
AGAGUUUGAUCCUGGCUCAGGAUGAACGCUAGCUGCAGGCCUAAUACAUGCAAGUCGAAGGGGCAGCAAUGUCACUGGCGGACGGGUGCGUAACACGUUUGGAAUCUGCCUUGUAUUGGGGGAUAGCCCGCCGAAAGGCGGAUUAAUAC